rnacentral:rRNA from 1 species
CAGCCGCCGCGGUAAUACGGAGGGUGCAAGCGUUAAUCGGAUUUACUGGGCGUAAAGGGCGCGUAGGUGGUUAUGUAAGUGAGAUGUGAAAUCCCCGGGCUCAACCUGGGAACUGCAUCUUAUACUGCGUAGCUGGAGUGCAGUAGAGGGUAGUGGAAUUUCCGGUGUAGCGGUGAAAUGCGUAGAUAUCGGAAGGAACACCAGUGGCGAAGGCGGCUACCUGGACUGACACUGACACUGAGGCGCGAAAGCGUGGGGAGCAAACAGGAUUAGAUACCCCCGUAGUCCCUGUCUCUUAUAC